ACUCAGGCACGAUCUCUGCCAAGGUAAGUUGUCGUUGUUAUUAAGUGAUAAUGACGCUUUUGGCCUGUGAAGAUGCGGAGAACCGACCUGAAGUUUCAAUCCUGAGGGA
rfam:Corynebacterium pseudotuberculosis C231, complete genome.